UACAGAGGGUGCGAGCGUUGUCCGGAAUCACUGGGCGUAAAGGGCGCGUAGGUGGCGAGCCAAGUCCAUGGUGAAAGCUCGAUGCUCAACAUCGAGUCGGCCACGGAUACUGGUGCGCUUGAGCACUGUAGAGGCUAAUGGAAUUCCGGGUGUAGCGGUGGAAUGCGUAGAGAUCCGGAAGAACACCGGUGGCGAAGGCGGUUAAGCUGGGCAGUUGCUGACACUGAG
rnacentral:rRNA from 1 species